AACAAGUACCGUGAGGGAAAGGUGAAAAGUACCCCUGUUAGGGGAGUGAAAUAGAUCCUGAAACCAUAAACUUACAAGCAGUCGGAGUCCCGAUUUAUCGGGAUGACGGCGUGCCUAUUGAAGAAUGAGUCUGCGAGUUAUAUUAUUAGGCGAGGUUAAGUCCGUCUCGGACGUAGCCGUAGCGAAAGCAAGUCCUAAAAGGCAUUUAGUCUAAUGAUAUAGACCCGAAACCAGGUGAUCUAUCCAUGAGCAGGUUGAAUCCCUUCGAAAGGGGGGAAGAGGACCGAACCGGUAAGCGCUGCAAAGCUUUCGGAUGACUUGUGGUUAGAGGUUAUACGCCAAUCGAACCUGGAAAUAGCUGGUUCUCCCCGAAAUAGCUUUAGGGCUAGCCUUGAUUAGUAGUUAGUGGAGGUAGAGCACUGUUUGGAUAGCGCGGGCCUUUUUGGCUUAGCGCAUCCUCACAAACUCCGAAUACCAUUAGCGUAAGAUCAGGAGUCAGUCGAUGGGAGCUAAGUUCCGUACGGCAAGAGGGAAACAUCCCAGAUCAACAGAUAAGGUCCCAAAAUACAUACUAAGUGGUAAACGAUGUGAAGAUUCUAAUACAGCUAGUAGGUUUGCUUAGAGGCAGCAAUCCUUUAAAGAGUGCGUAACAGCUCACUAAUCUAGAAACUUUGCACGAUUAAUUCAACGGGGCUCAAGUAUGAUACCGAUGCUUUGAAUUUUCCGUCCCUUCGGGGUCGGAAUCUGGUAGGGGAGCGUUGUAUGCGCAGCGAAGGUAAACUGUAAGGUUUGCUGGAGUACAUACAAGUGAGAAUGCAGACAUGAGUAGCGUAAAGCAGGUGAAAACCCUGCUCACCGAAUGAACGAGGUUUCCUUGGCCAUGUUCGUCAUCCAAGGGUUAGUCGGUCCUAAGCCGAGGCCGAAAGGCGUAGGCGAUGGACAACUGGUCAAUAUUCCAGUACUACUGAAAAUUCGUUAUCAACUAAGGAGGGACCAAGGUGGUAAUUCUGUAGUCACGAUAGGUCGUGAUUCAAGCAAUAAGUUAGUCUUUCUAGGUAAAUCCGGGAAGGCGAUUCUCCCUUACGGGGGAGGGCAAACGAGUUGUUACGAAAAGUCAAAGCCCACGGGCAGAGGCAAUUGCAGAUAAUCAACUUGCAAGAAAAACUUCUAUGUGAGAAUUUUUAGUAACCGUACCGCAAACCGACACUGGUGUUCUGGUAGAAUAUACCAAGGUGUGUGAGUGAUGCCUUGUUAAGGAAUUCGGCAUAAUAUCUCCGUAACUUCGGGAUAAGGAGACCCUAUAUUUAACUAUAUAGGGCGCAGAGAAAUGGUUCAAUCGACUGUUUAACAAAAACACAGGUCCCUGCUAAAGCGCAAGCUGAUGUAUAGGGGCUGACGCCUGCCCAAUGCCAGAAGAUCACAGAAGGGGGUUAGCCGUAAGGCGAAGCUUCUAACUUAAGUCCUGGUGAAUGGCGGCUGUAACUAUAACGGUCCUAAGGUAGCGAAGUUCCUCGGCGCUUAAUAGGCGUCGCGCAUGAAUGGCGUAACGAGUUGGACACUGUCUCGACAGGGCGCUCAGCGAACAUUGAAAUGGCAGUGAAGAUGCUGCCUACCCGCAGCAGGACAAAAAGACCCCGGGAUCUUUACUGUAUCUUGUCAUUGAGAUGAGAUUUUUAUUGUAGAGUGUAGGAGGGAGACUUUGAUAUCAGGUCGCCAGAUCUGAUGGAGUCGCCAAUGUAACACCUCCCUUUAGAGAUUUCAUUUCUAACUCGGACCGUUAUCCGGUUCGGGGACAGUGCCAGGUGGGCAGUUUUACUGGGGCGGUGUCUUACUAAAGAGUACCGUAAGAUUCCAAAGGUCGGCUCAAGAUGGAUUGGAAAUCAUCUGUAGAGCACAAUAGUAUAAGCCGG
rnacentral:rRNA from 1 species